CUGUUCUUCCUAAAUUACUCUUUUUUCCGUCAUCCGGGGUGAAGUGGAUCAAACAGGUUUUUGAUCAGUAAUGCGCGCGCAUCACCCAAUCCAUUUGUUGACUUACGAUUCCCAUUGCGAACGAGUCGCUGCGUGUAGUGAGUGCCAGGGUGCAGUUAUACAAGGAAUAGAAAGAAUAUUAGAAAAUGCCUCUCACAUAUGCUAAGAAAUUAGGAGCUUAUGGAAAGAAAAAUUAUAACCCCGUUUAUAUGGAGAGGGCUGUAGCAGCUGUGAAGGUGAAAAAAUAUCGAUGAGACAAGCAUCUAAAGAAUUUGGAAUUUUCUAUACAGCCUUGAACUAUCGCGUAAAUAAUAAAUAUUCUGGAACUUAUGGAGGACAGCCAGCAUUAACAAAUGAAGUAGAAAGAGUGCUUGUUGAUGAUCUUCAGCUGUGUGCGGAGUGGGGUUUUUCACUAAAACCGAUAGAUGUUCGACAUGUUGUCCAGCAAUAUUUAAACAAUUAAGGAAUACAAGAAGUGGUUCCAUAAUAACUUGCCCGGUCAUAAAUGGUUCCUGUGUUUCAUGAAUCGGCAUCGGGAACUAACAACAAAAUUUUCGGAGAAUACGACGAGAGUAAGAGUUGCAGUAAGCUAUGAAUCGGCUGCGGCGUAUUUCAAUCAUUUACGAGAAUCCCUAGAAAACAUUCCACCAUCUAAUGUAAUAAAUUAUGACGAAACCAACUUCGUUGGCGACCCUGGUGCCGUGAAAGUAGUGUUAAAGCGGGGCACUAAGUAUGUAUUCAGAGCACUUGAAGCGAGCAAAACUAGCACCACAGAUGUAAAUAGCUGCGCAGAGCUAUUUACAUCUGUGCUGGAACUCCUCCGCCACCCUACGUCGUGUAUAGAGCCUAACACAUUUACGAAGUUUGAUUCUAUUCUUUUCGAAGACUAGUUCUACUUAAUUGUUUUGCCUUAUUUCCAACAGCUGGAAGGUGAUAAAUUUGUUAUUGGUGAUAAUUUCGGAAGCCAUAUAACAAUAAGUGUAAUUCAAGAGUGCGCAAAGAUCUACUGAUCUGCGAUAGAUCUACAGUUAACGCUAUGGCGGGGUUCAAGACGUGUGGUAUAGUGGCCUUCAAUCCGAACGCAGUUUUGGAUAAGGUAAAAUAUAGAACUGAAGACACGGAGCCGAUGGAAAGCACAUGGAGGAAUGUGUUGAUGGAAAGACUUGACGAACUUAGAAGCGGACCCAGUCAAGCACCGAAACGGGGCAAGAAGGUUGAUAUCGUGGCAGAUAACAUUGACCCCAUUUUUUUAUUGAGACGUAUUUUAAAUUAAACACAAAAUGGUGGCUAUUGCUCCAUGAUUUAUCCAUGAUGUAUGUGUUGAAAAUGGCCAACUCCUUCAGUUUAGCAAGCCGCAAGUGCGCCAAUGACGUCUGGUUUAUUUUGGUAAACAUGUUGUUGACAUAUCCCCAAAGAAAAUAAGCCAGCAGUGUUAAAUCAGGAGAUCUAAGUGGAUAUUUAACAGCACCUCGUCGACCAAUCCAAGGAUUUGAAAAAUGAAAUCUGCGAGCAUUAACACCAAAAUAUGAAGGAACACCAUCUUGCUGAAACCAUAAUCGGUCAUGAAAUAUAUCUAGAUCGACUGCAUUUGGAAAAAUUGCGGCUAAAGUUAUCAAAUUGAACGACAAAAAUCUAAAUAUCGUUCGGCUGUAAGAUUAUUUUA